rnacentral:rRNA from 1 species
GACGAACGCUGGCGGCGUGCUUAACACAUGCAAGUCGAACGGAAAGGCCCUGCUUUUGUGGGGUGCUCGAGUGGCGAACGGGUGAGUAACACGUGAGUAACCUGCCCUUGACUUUGGGAUAACUUCAGGAAACUGGGGCUAAUACCGGAUAGGAGCUCCUGCUGCAUGGUGGGGGUUGGAAAGUUUCGGCGGUUGGGGAUGGACUCGCGGCUUAUCAGCUUGUUGGUGGGGUAGUGGCUUACCAAGGCUUUGAAGGGUAGCCGGCCUGAGAGGGUGACCGGCGACAUUGGGACUGAGAUACGGCCCAGACUCCUACGUGAGGCAGCAGUGGGGAAUAUUGCACAAUGGGCGGAAGCCUGAUGCAGCAACGCCGCGUGCGGGAUGACGGCCUUCGGGUUGUAAACCGCUUUCGCCUGUGACGAAGCGUGAGUGACGGUAAUGGGUAAAGAAGCACCGGCUAACUACGUG